rnacentral:rRNA from 1 species
UACGUAGGGUGCGAGCGUUAUUCGGAAUUACUGGGCGUAAAGCGUGCGCAGGCGGUUAUGCAAGACAGAUGUGAAAUCCCCGGGCUUAACCUGGGAAUGGCAUUUGUGACUGCAUGGCUAGAGUGUGUCAGAGGGGGGUAGAAUUCCACGUGUAGCAGUGAAAUGCGUAGAUAUGUGGAGGAACACCGAUGGCGAAGGCAGCCCCCUGGGACAACACUGACGCUCAUGCACGAAAGCGUGGGGAGCAAACAGG